GCUGGUGUAGCUCAACGGGCAGAGCAGCCGGCUUGUACCCGGCAGGUUGCAGGUUCGACUCCUGCCGCCAGCU
rnacentral:tRNA from 1 species